GCGCGGGGGAGUGAGGAAGGGACGCUGUGCUCCGUGCUUCCCCUUGUUAUCCGUGUUAUCCACGUGUCCACCCUUGUUAUCCUCGUGCUGUAGCGGUGCCGUGGCGGGGGGUGUAGGCGUUGACAUCCGUGGCGCUGACUGACCACAUCAGGGUGUGCUGGCAGCCCCCCGCACAGCACAAUGUGAUGCUGUGCGGCUACACCAUUGCCUGGGACCGAGGCGUGGCGGACAUCUACUCCAAGAGCGUGGACAGCAAGCAGCGCGGUUACAUCAUUGAUAAGCUGGAACCCAACAUGGAGUUUGUGAUAAGCCUGCGAGCCUUCAACAACGUGGGUGACGGGCAACCGGUGUACCAGUAUGUCCGCACCCAGCCAGAGGAGGAGGAGGUGGUGGCACCCACGCUGGACCCGGCGGUGUGGGUGAAGGCCGUGGUGCUGACACCCUUCACCGUGGUGCUGCAGUGGGCGGACACCAUGCUGAGCAAGAACCAGUACAACAGCUGCACUACCUUCUCGUCCUAAUCCUCCAGCCGCUACGUCAACGCCACGGAUGUGACCUGCCUCAUUGACAGCCUCAAGCCAUCAACAGUGUGUUUGGCGUGAGUCCCCCUAUAGCCUGGUGGCCCAGCCGUCCUGGCCCUCCCUGGCCAGCCGUCCACCACCACCUUCACCCAGCAGCCGUCCACCACCACCUUCACCCAGCAGCCGUCCACCACCACCUUCACCCGGCAGCCGCUGCAGCGGAACAACGGGAGGAUCACAGGCUACGUGAUAUUCCUCACCACGGACCAAACUGUCAGUGACUGGGUGAUGGGGGAAGUGACGGGGGACUGGCUCACCCUCUCUGUCCAUGGACUGACGCCUUCAAGGAAGUAUUUGCACAAGAUGCACACUCACAAUGUCAAAGGUUUUGGUCCAUUAUCCUCCGUGGAAAGCUUCACGACUCUUCCAGCUGUUGACAAGAGCAUCGGUGAGCCCCCUGGCUGGUGUGUGGAGCGAGAGGCCUGAUUGUGCUGGUGAUCGCUGGCGUGGCAGGAGCCAUGACCAGCUGGGGGCCUUCUUGGCCACCACACUGUACUGCCGCGGGUCAAGGCAGAGCCCAGGCCAAGCAUUGUGUAAGGUGGCAGGACAGUUUCUUGUUGGUGUGUUUCAUCCCAUGACUCA